rnacentral:rRNA from 1 species
ACACGGCCCAGACUCCUACGGGAGGCAGCAGUGGGGAAUUUUGGACAAUGGGGGAAACCCUGAUCCAGCCAUGCCGCGUGCGGGAAGAAGGCCUUCGGGUUGUAAACCGCUUUUAGUCGGGAAGAAAGGGUUCUCCUGAAUAUGGAGGAUUUUUGACGGUACCGGCGGAAUAAGCACCGGCUAACUACGUGCCAGCAGCCGCGGUAAUACGUAGGGUGCGAGCGUUAAUCGGAAUUACUGGGCGUAAAGAGUGCGUAGGCGGUUCUCCAAGUCCGUUGUGAAAGCCCCGGGCUCAACCUGGGAAUGGCAGUGGAAACUAGGGGACUUGAAUCUGGCAGAGGGGGGUGGAAUGCCGCGUGUAGCAGUGAAAUGCGUAGAGAUGCGGCGGAACACCGAUGGCGAAGGCAGCCCCCUGGGCUGAGAUUGACGCUCAGGCACGAAAGCGUGGGGAGCAAACAGGAUUACAUACCCUGGUAGUCCACGCCCUAAACGAUGGCAACUAGGUGUUGGGGAACGAUUUCC